rnacentral:misc_RNA from 1 species
GACACGGCCGGCGCGGGUGCUGCUCUUGGGGGCAUGCAACUGCUUGCUGGACCACCAGGGACGGCGAACCCGAGAACAGACACCAAUUCCUAAAGACGAACCAAGCUAACACGUCCUCUGAUGAUGAGCCGACACCAGACCACAAUAGAGGAAGAACCAGACUGCUCAUGAGGUAGAACUCGACUCCUGAGAAGGUAGAACUCGACUGACGACUCUCUUGGUGACCCCGGGUUGACCUCGCUUCGGUUAUGUGAGGUUGGCGGCGGUAAUUGGUAGUUGAAUCCCGUCACAGUGUCACGGAUAGUGGUUCCAGGCCUCGCUACCACUUCUCAACAUCCCCAUCCCGCCUCUCAGCAACAAACAAACUGUUUAUGAAUGAAAACUGGUUUACACACCACUCACAACUGAUGACGUUCGAACAGUUCGAACAGUGCUUCGUUGAUGACCUCUGUUCGAACCACAACGCCGUAAAAGCUUC